UCUCUCCACUUUCACUAUUCUCUGGUUUAUUGGUACUGAUUACAUUUUUUACAAAAAAGAUUCACAAUUGGAUUUCGAACGAAUAUUUGCUUGCUGUAUGAUAGUAAUUGGAGGCUCAAUUGAAAAGUAAACGCCAAAAAAGGAGAAAUUUCUCUGUUCUCAAUCACAAAAUCUACUCCAUUUCAGCUUUCACUUUUCGAAAUUGUUGCUUUCUCAGGUAGAACGAAGAAGAAAAUGUCUAUGUGCUUUCCGUCCACUCCAAAGAAGGCUGCGACGACCAUCGGAUGUUUCCUCUUUGGAGCCGCCCUCUUUGCUUUUGGCUUGCAUUUCUCGUAUGUCAAUGUUGCGCCUCAACAAGCUCGAAUCAAAGCUCGCAAUGAUUUCGUAAGAGAACGACUGAGAAAGAAGUAUGGCAAGCCUUAGAUUUCGCUUGUGUUUGCUCCUCACUGGGAUAAAUGGAGAUUCAACCGCGGUUUUGUUGUGGACGAAUUACGGCCUUGUAUUUACAUGGAGGACUGGAGGAAAUUUUUUAUGGCUUUUGAAUGGUUUUUGAAGUUCUUAACCUUGUGAGUUGCGACCAAGUAUAAAAGAAAACCCCUUUACGUUCUUUGUUGUUGUUGUUGUUGCAUUUGAACGUUCUACAAUACGAAUAAUACAUAUAUUUUACUGA